AAAGUGAAACAGAUGAUUGAGGUUCAUAAAAUCCAUGAUGCAUAUGGUCACCCCAAAUAUCUUCCCAAAUCCCUGAUGACUCAUCAUAUAAUUCUGCUAUUCCUUUUUUCAACUCCUGUUGGUUCUGUACAUCAACUUCUGGUGUUGAGACACCAUUCAUUGCAGCAACACCUUUCAUUCUUCUUUUCUGUACAUCAACUUCUGGUGUUGACAUUGCAGCAACACCUGUCAUUCUUCUUCUUGUUCUAGUAUUACUAUUACAAGUUCUAACACUUUGUCUUCUUGUUGUUUCUUUGAUAUUGUGA
rnacentral:lncRNA from 1 species